AACUGAUAAAGCUGCCCUGACCGACCAAGUCAAUAAGUUGACUGGGAAGAAAAACGAUCUGGAGGCCUUCCUGAGUGGUCUUGCCAAGAAGCUGUUUCUUAUGCUUGAAGAAUUUUGUCAAAACUUUGAAGAAGAAACUAGCCGGCAGGAGCCAAACCUCGACCCCGUCAAUUCUCCGGUGAACGACGAAGUUGCCAUGGAAGUUUUCCGACUGGAGUCCCGUGUUGCAGCUGUCGUGGACUAUCUCGCAAGGCUGAAGGCCGCCAC
rnacentral:rRNA from 1 species